ACUUCAGAGAGGCCAAAGAGGAGAAUCAUCAUUCGCAGACCGAGAGAUGAUGACCCAUUCCUGAAGUUGGACGCCAGAAUGCAGGAAGGUGCUGUUUAAGAGCCUAGGCGGUGGAAGAAGCACUUGCAGGUAUGCUACCGACCAGGCUCCUCAACAUCAAUCCGAGACGGAAGAUGAACCGGGAUGAAGCAGUUAGAUUGAGACAAGGCGGCCGGAAACUUUGAUGACCUCAAUGACACUGGCUAGGUGAAGGACAUCAAGAAAAUGGCAUCCGGUCACCAGACAUCAGCUCAUAAGCCACAACGUCAUCAACCAUUUUGCGCCAAAAAUGAAGCCGUUCACAUACCAUGGCAUCCUAAGCAGGCAGCACCACACUACUGUGCAACAGUGAGAGAGAGCGGGCAAGGACAAGUAAAACGGACCUACACUACAGCAAGACUUUGACACUUCUCCACGUGAGAGGCAGCCAUCGCCCCCACCGUGGAGCAGUGUGUACCCAGUACCCCCAAAAGAGGAGAUGAUCCGACGCCAUCACAGCCGAUUUCCAAAAUUGUACACCAAACUCUGUAUGGGCGUGUGUGUGUGUGUGUGUGUGAGAUAUUGUAAAACUUUUCAGUCCUUCUUCUAUACUAUACAGUGUAUAAAUAUGCAUGUGAAAACCUAAAUAUGCAUUAAAAACCAUUACUGAGGUUAAGAAAUGCAUUAUAACAAAUACAUCUGAUUCAGGUGUACUGUACAUUGAAAUGUCUUUAUUUGCCACAAAUACAUCACAUCCUGGAAACCUGUACAAUGUGUGGAUUCAAAGGUCUGCCAGAUCUUUGUGAUGGCACAGGAUUGCAGUGGAACCCAAACAUAGCCUAGGAGCUCCCACGCCAUCUCACCAACUGCCGAUAUGCAGUAUGCCUGAAUUUCCUGUACAGCAAAGAAAUGUAGAGAUUGUGCCUUCAUCGAGAAUAGGUCAUUUGGAAUCACAACAAUUAUUCAAUUUACUUUGUGCGUGUGGUGUAGCUAUUGCUGUUAUUAUGUUACUACUAGUGACCCAUUUAGUUGAGCUUAAUAGUCUACAUGACAUCUCUGCACUUGUGUUACCACUAUUGGGAUUGGCUGCUCCCUAAAUGAAAAUGAGAAAAACUUGCCCGGAUGAAAUGUUAUGAACUGUGUGCGUUGUGCUGCUUGCUGAAGUAACAUGACACCCACAUCACCUUCCAGAAAUAAAGUGUAUACAGGCUACCUAACCAGAGUCCUAGAGACCUGUUGCUGCUGUGUGAUGAAAUCCAGGCAAAGACCCACCUGCUUUGGCAAUUGCUGCAACAUGUAAAAAAGGUAGACAGAUUAGGCCCCUGUAGAUAUGGCAUGUGUAGAUGGAUUCACUUAAUUCUUUAACCACUUAAAUGGCUUGGGUCAGACAAGCUGGGCUGCACACUGACCUCUUCCAUGUUGCCCAUGUGGUUUCGUUGGCUGUGUGUGACCACCUCCGUACAGGGGCAGAUUUAUUUAUUUAUUAUUUAUUUAUUUAUUUAUUAAAAUGUCUGCACCUUUUUAUUAAAUGUAUUGCAUUGCACUGGUAUCACAUUGCAUUAAAUGUACUAGCCAAGUGACACAAACAGAGCAGGUAAAUACAGUCUUGAUCUGUACCAUUUAUGUCACUUCUUAAAGAUUCAAUUAUUCAACUCUAUAUUCGAAGAGGCCGGUAUUGCGCUACCAUUUUCCAUGAACCAGUCAACUUCUGGGAGUCAUUGCAGUACUUUGAGAAAGUGAUCUUACUUUCUAGCCUAAUCAUUCAUUGUGCUUGUGUCAGUAUUGUAGUGUCAUUGGUUAUUUACAGUGUGUCGACGCCAUCUACUGGAUACUCCACGCACGGUUCAUUUUCUAUCCACUUAAUCAUUUCAUUCCAAAGCACAGAGUGAGCUCUUUGAUGCAAUGUAGGCUAAAUUCACCCAGAGCUCUAGUUGUGUAUACCCGUUGGAUCGCUGAAUACAUAGCCUACAUUAAAUCCAUAUUUCAGCCUCCGGUAUCAAGUCAACUG